UGGUAAUUAGUUUAACUAAAACAAGUGAUUUCGACUCAUUAGAUUAUGACAAACGUUAUAAUUACCAA
rnacentral:tRNA from 1 species